UGUUGCCACACAACACAUCAAAAUUCCAUAAAAACAAACAAAACUCUGUAAUGAAUACAAUGGAAUCUGCAGCCAAGGAGACCAGAAAAUACUUGAGAAAAUGUCUAGUAACUGGGGAGGACAGACACAGCUGUCUCGGAGGGCAGCACAGAGGCUCCAAAUUUAGAGAAAGGGGGCAUCUGUGUGAGCUGGAGAGCUAAGGAAGGCUACAGAAGUCUGACUUGACCCAAACUUUAGAGGCCCCGCUCAAUGUGGCCAGAUCUUGAGGUACAACUGUAAGUCUGGAUGAAGAUGCAUUACAAAGCAAAUAGAGGCUUGACCGUGAGACUACCAUGGAAAAUUUUCAGAGGAACCAAGUGGCUGCAAAAAUCUUACAUAAAAGAGUUAUGAAAUGGCAUGGACCGGGAGGAUGGGAAGACAGUGGAGUAGAAGGACCCUAAGGUCACAUGUCGCAUGGAUACAACUAGAUAACACUCACAUCACUGUGGCUAUGUUCCAAGCAUCAAGCAGCACUUCAGAAAUCCAGUCUCUUUCAAUUUUAUGGCUCCACCAUCAUCAACCUGUAGCUUCACAGGCCAGCAAAUUCAUUUCUGCAUGAGCCUGACAGAAGGGGAAAGAACACAAAGCAUCUUCUAUCAGAAUUUUUUUGUGAACCAGGCCCCAAAAUGUCAUCAAUCACUUUGUCUUGCAUUCCACUGGUCAGAACCCAGUCACAUGGUCACAUCUAACUCUAAGAGAGCCUGGGAAAUGCAAUAUAUAUUUGUGUAAAGGAAGAAGAAACAGGCUUGGUGAACAACUAGACUGCUUCUGCCACUGGAGUGUUUUAUUUUCUAAGAGUGAGCCAAUUAGCUAUGUGAACUUCUGGAGAAUUUAUCCAGAAGAAAGGAGGGGUGGGAGGAAUCAAUUACUGAAAACCUGUAAAAGAACAAUGGGAGACAAAAAUAGUGUUUUGAUUACAUCUCUAAUUUGGGCUUGUCUGAAGCAUAAUUUUCAGCUGUCAAAUGCACAACACCAGGUAAUAUAUCAGUUGUGUUUUUACUUUGAAAACAUAUCUCUUACAGACCUCUGGGUUGAUUUUUCUAAUCUGGACUGACUGUUCUCACAUCUGUUACACAACUAUCAUCCUGAUACUUUCCUUCACCAUCAUCCAGACAAGGCCUUUACCUUGCUCCUGUUUUUAAAUUUUUUUUAACGUUUAUUUAUUUUUGAGAGAGACAGACAGAAUGCAAGUGGGGGAGGGACAGAGAGAGAGAGGGAGACCAGAAUCCAAAGGAGGCUCCAGGAUCUGAGCCUGACGCAGGGCUCAAACUCAUGAACAAUGAGAUCAUGACCUGAGCCGAAGUCAGAUGCUUAGCCAACUGAGCCGCCCAGGCGCCCCUAUCUUGUUCCUGUUUUGUAGCGUGUUUCACUCAGAUCGGUGGACUCCUUCCCUUACUGUUUGAUCCCUUUUUUUUUUUUUUUAUGGAAAACAACGUCUAGUAGUGUCCUGAGAAAUAGUGCACAGAGGACUCAUUUUUAGAGAUCCUGCAUAUCUGAAAGUAUUACUCUGCAUUCCUAGUUGAUGGAAAACUUGGCUGACGAUGGAUUUCUAGGCUCCAAUUCAUUUUUCCUCAGGAUUUUGAAGGGGACUACUUCACUGUCUAACUACUAUCUUUUGAAUGGGCCCUGCUAUUUCCAUUCAGCUGCUCUUAGGAUCUUCUUUGUAUCCUUAGGGUUCUGCAAUGUCAUAUUAUGAGUUGAUGUUGAUUUUUUUUUUAUCAUUCAUUUCUGAGCACUUGGAGGACUCUUUUGAUCCAGGAAUUCAUAGCUUUCAAUACUUGGAAGUCUUCUCACAUUGUUUUUUACGAUUUUUUUCCUCCCUUUCUUUGCUUUUUGUUCUUUCUCAAAAACCUAAUAGUUGAGUGUCUUGCCCUUGACCGGUCCACUAGCUUUUAAAAAUAUUUUCUUUCUUAUUUGCUUUCUCUUUCUCUUUUUGUUCUAAAUUUUUUGGAAGAGUCCCCACUUUACCUUUCAUACUUCUAUUAAAUUAUUUACUUCUGCUAAAAAUAUUAUUAUUUCUUAAGACUUUGGUAUUCUCUCAAUUUUUUUAUACCUUCCUGCUAUUGCUUGAAGAAUAAAAUACAUUCCAAGUCCCUAAGAAUAUUAAUGAUUGUUUACUUUAUCAUUUUUUCUUCUGCUUCAAUACUUUCUUUUCUUCUGAGUUCCUUUCAUUUUAGUUGUCAUCUAUGACUUGUAUAUAAAAUGCUUUCUUCAUGUAUCUAGUAGUCCUUGAAUAACCAUUCACAUUGAUAACUCUGAUGGCAGAACAACCCAUUUGGUGAGCCUCAUUGCAAGGCGGUCAGGACCUAGGAAUGUCAGAAAAUGUAGAUUUUUUUUUGUUCCUCUGGAGCCAAUCAAGAACUCCAGGAAGGAAUCUACUAAUAUAUUGCCUGUUGGAGCUAAGUGACCACUGUUCACAUUUUGCAUAGAGAGAGAGAUAAGAGCAAGGGGCUUAUCAAUAUAUAAAAUUUAGAUAUUAAUUUAAGUCCUCUUUUAUCACUUUAUCAUUUCAUCUUUCAUUCUGCUAUUUCUGAUGUCCCCAGAUCUAAACUUUCUCAGGUUUGAUUUUUCUAGGGAGCAAACCUCCUGUGCUCUGCAAGAGCUGAGAGAGGAAUUGCAUUAUUGUGGGCAAUACUACAAGGAAUGAAGUAGUCCUUAUAUAUAUCUUCCAUUUAACUUCAUCUCCACUCUUACCUUUUUCCUUCAGAGGUAUCUGGUGCCUUCUGGAGUUUUGUGACCUGCUUCAUGGGGCCCCCCAUCUGCAAGCAGUUAGCUUUUAGCUUUUUUCACUCUGCUCUUCCAUCUGCCAAAAUUUUGGGGACUUCCAAAAAAAAUCUUACGUUAGCCUUGCCCUCUGGGUAAUGCAUCUUUUUAAUUCUUUUAGUAUCAUUUUGGUGGGGAUUUGGUAGAGAAAAAAGGUAAGGUGUGUGCAAUUAAUCCUCCACAUUUAACUACAAGCCUAAUAACAUUUUCAGAUGUCUUUUUUCCUUCCCACACAUAUUACUAUAUCCUAGCAUGUUUAAAUUUCUAAGAGACAGGUGCACACAUUUAUAAUAAAGCAGUCAUUUCAAUAUUUCAUAGCCUUUAAAAAGCAAAGAAUAAAGAAAUUUGUUGCCUAACCUUUGUCAUUUAAGCUUGAAUGGAUAUCCUCGAAUGAAAACACAGGUUGUACUACAAACCCAAACAGUAUUAAAAUUGUAUGAUGCGACAGAAUUGCCUGCAAGCUCAGUAGAAAAGGACA